GCGUCAGUCGCAAGAUGAAGCGUUGAAUUGAAGCCCGAGUAAACGGCGGCCGUAACUAUAACGGUCCUAAGGUAGCGAAAUUCCUUGUCGGUUAAAUACCGACCUGCAUGAAUGGCGUAACGAGAUGGGAGCUGUCUCAACCAGAGAUUCAGUGAAAUUGUAGUGGAGGUGAAAAUUCCUCCUACCCGCGGCAAGACGGAAAGACCCCGUGGACCUCUACUACAACUUAGCACUG
rnacentral:rRNA from 1 species